rnacentral:rRNA from 1 species
GAUGAACGCUGGCGGCGUGCCUAACACAUGCAAGUCGAACGGAGAUAAGGAGGAGCUUGCUCCACCUUAUCUGAGUGGCGGACGGGUGAGUAACGCGUGGAUAACCUGCCUCAUACAGGGGGAUAACAGUUAGAAAUGACUGCUAAUACCGCAUAAGACCACAGCACCGCAUGGUGCAGGGGUAAAAACUCCGGUGGUAUGAGAUGGAUCCGCGUCUGAUUAGCUAGUUGGUAAGGUAACGGCUUACCAAGGCGACGAUUGGUAGCCGGACUGAGAGGUUGAACGGCCACAUUGGGACUGAGACACGGCCCAG